UAAAGCAUAAGGAAUCUUUUGCAUCUCCUUAGUCUCAAAGUCAUUCUUGAGGCAUUAACUUAUACUAACUUAUCUCCUUUAGAGACAGGGGUGUCACCUAUUUUACAAUCCUGCAAGCUAAAUAUGUAACAUCCCACCCAUCACUGUGCUUAAAUGAUUUGGAAAUCCUAUUUAUUCAGACCUUUGGCUACAAUAAACUUAAUUAAUUUACGCAGCUUAAUAU
rnacentral:lncRNA from 1 species